GAUGAACGCUAGCGAUAGGCCUAACACAUGCAAGUCGAGGGGCAUCACAUGAAGUAGCAAUACGGAUGGUGGCGACCGGCGCACGGGUGAGUAACACGUAUGCAACCUGCCUUCAACAAGGGGAUAACCCGUUGAAAGACGGACUAAUACCCUAUAACACAGGGGUCCCGCAUGGGAAUAUUUGUUAAAGGACAACCGGUUGAAGAUGGGCAUGCGUUCCAUUAGCUAGUUGGCGGGGUAACGGCCCACCAAGGCAACGAUGGAUAGGGGAACUGAGAGGUUUAUCCCCCACACUGGUACUGAGACACGGACCAGACUCCUACGGGAGGCAGCAGUGAGGAAUAUUGGUCAAUGGACGCAAGUCUGAACCCAGCCACGUCGCGUGAAGGAAGACGGCCCUACGGGUUGUAAACUUCUUUUAUACGGGAAUAAAGUGCCCCACGCGUGGGGUUUUGCAUGUACCGUAUGAAUAAGGAUCGGCUA
rnacentral:rRNA from 1 species